rnacentral:rRNA from 1 species
GUACUACUCUCAGAGUUUGAUCCUGGCUCAGGACGAACGCUGGCGGCAUGCUUAACACAUGCAAGUCGAACGAGAAUCUGUGGAUUGAGGAUUCGUCCAAAUGAAGCAGAGGACAGUGGCGGACGGGUGAGUAACGCGUGAGGAACCUGCCUUUCAGAGGGGGACAACAGUUGGAAACGACUGCUAAUACCGCAUAACGCGUAGAGAUCGCAUGGUCUUUACGCCAAAGAUUUAUCGCUGAAAGAUGGCCUCGCGUCUGAUUAGCUAGUUGGUGAGGUAACGGCCCACCAAGGCGACGAUCAGUAGCCGGACUGAGAGGUUGAACGGCCACAUUGGGACUGAGAUACGGCCCAG